rnacentral:rRNA from 1 species
UACAGAGGUCCCAAGCGUUGUUCGGAUUCACUGGGCGUAAAGGGUGCGUAGGCGGUCGGGUAAGUCUGACGUGAAAUCUUCAAGCUCAACUUGGAAACUGCGUCCGAUACUAUUCGGCUAGAGGAAUGGAGGGGAGACUGGAAUACUUGGUGUAGCAGUGAAAUGCGUAGAUAUCUGGAGGAAUACCGGUGGCGAAGGCGGCAUCCUGGACCGACAUUGACGCUGAGGAGCGAAAGCUAGGGGAGCAAACGGG